rnacentral:rRNA from 1 species
GACGAACGCUGGCGGCGUGCUUAACACAUGCAAGUCGAACGGAAAGGCCCUGCUUUUGUGGGGUGCUCGAGUGGCGAACGGGUGAGUAACACGUGAGUAACCUGCCCUUGACUGUGGGAUAACUUCAGGAAACUGGGGCUAAUACCGGAUAGGAGCUCCUGCUGCAUGGUGGGGGUUGGAAAGUUUCGGCGGUUGGGGAUGGACUCGCGGCUUAUCAGCUUGUUGGUGGGGUAGUGGCUUACCAAGGCUUUGACGGGUAGCCGGCCUGAGAGGGUGACCGGCCACAUUGGGACUGAGAUACGGCCCAGACUCCUACGGGAGGCAGCAGUGGGGAAUAUUGCACAAUGGGCGGAAGCCUGAUGCAGCAACGCCGCGUGCGGGAUGACGGCCUUCGGGUUGUAAACCGCCUUCGCCUGUGACGAAGCGUGAGUGACGGUAAUGGGUAAAGAAGCACCGGCUAACUACGUG